GCCUCCGUGGCGCAAUCGGUCAGCGCGCUCGGCUGUUAACCGAAAGGUUGGUGGUCCGAGCCCGCCCGGGGGCG
rnacentral:tRNA from 1 species